rnacentral:rRNA from 1 species
CGGUGUUUAACUGGCGUGAUGUGGGACGUCCUACCGGUGGGCUUAGCCUCGCGAGGGGCGGCCCAACUAAUAUCCCGUCGCGGUGCUCUUUACUGAGUGUCGAGUCGGGCCGGUACGUUUACUUUGAACAAAUUAGAGUGCUUAAAGCAGGCUAUCCUCGCCUGAAUACUGCGUGCAUGGAAUAAUGGAAUAGGACCUCGGUUCUAUUUUGUUGGUUUUCGGAACCCCGAGGUAAUGAUUAUAGGGACAGAUGGGGGCAUUCGUAUUGCGACGUUAGAGGUGAAAUUCUUGGAUCGUCGCAAGACGGACAGAAGCGAAAGCAUUUGCCAAAAAUGUUUUCAUUAAUCAAGAACGAAAGUUAGAGGUUCGAAGGCGAUCAGAUACCGCCCUAGUUCUAACCAUAAACGAUGCCAGCUAGCGAUCCGCCGAAGUUCCUCCGAUGACUCGGCGGGCAGCUUCCGGGAAACCAAAGCUUUUGGGUUCCGGGGGAAGUAUGGUUGCAAAGCUGAAACUUAAAGGAAUUGACGGAAGGGCACCACCAGGAGUGGAGCCUGCGGCUUAAUUUGACUCAACACGGGAAACCUCACCAGGCCCAGACACCGGAAGGAUUGACAGAUUGAUAGCUCUUUCUUGAUUCGGUGGGUGGUGGUGCAUGGCCGUUCUUAGUUGGUGGAGCGAUUUGUCUGGUUAAUUCCGAUAACGAACGAGACUCUAGCCUGCUAAAUAGGCGUACCUUAUGGUAUCGCGAAGGCCCCCGGCUUCGGCCGGUGGGUUUUUACUACCAACGUACAAACAAAUCUUCUUAGAGGGACAGGCGG